rnacentral:rRNA from 1 species
ACGGGAGGCAGCAGUAGGGAAUUUUCGGCAAUGGGGGCAACCCUGACCGAGCAACGCCGCGUGAGUGAUGAAGUUCUUCGGAACGUAAAAUUCUUUUAUUAGGAACGAAUGUACCAGAUAGGAAAUGAUUUGGUAGUGACGGUACCUAAUGAAUAAGCCCCGGCUAACUAUGUGCCAGCAGCCGCGGUAAUACAUAGGGGGCGAGCGUUAUCCGGAUUUAUUGGGCGUAAAGGGUGCGUAGGCGGUAAAUUAAGUCUAAGGGUAAAGGGCAGGGCUCAACCCGGGGAUGCCUUAGAAACUGGUGUACUUGAGUUUGGUAGAGGUAAGUGGAACUCCAAGUGUAGAGGUAAAAUUCGUAAAUAUAUGGAAGAACACCAGUGGCGAAGGCGGCUUACUGGGCCACAACUGACGCUGAGGCACGAAAGCGUGGGGAGCAAACAGGAUUAGAUACCCUGGUA